UUCUGUGUGUUUGUGUAUGUAUGUAAAAGAGUGAGAGAUUGACAGAGAGAGAGAGAGAGAGAGAGAGAGAAAGACAGAGAGGGGGAGAAGGCAGGAGUGUGUAGUGUUAAACAGGAGAGCUAGAGUAAAAGAAAAAAAAAUAGGUGCUUGUAAAAGAGAGGGAGAGAGAGGAAAAUGAAAGAUAGUCAAAGAAGACAAGAGGAAUAUAUAUAAAUUUUGUUGGAGGAGAGAGAAAGAGAGGGAGAGAGGGAGAGAGAGAGAAGGAGAGUGAGUGAGUGAGAGAGAGAGAGCAGAGACAGAAAGGAAAGGAGGAAGAGUUUAAAAAUUACCCCUACAGAAAAAGGAUAAAAAAGGCCCACACACACCUCCCCUACAAAAUGUGGGGGGGUGAACUUAUUAAGAGGAAGACUGUCAACAGGCUUUCGUUCAACACAACACAAUUUUACUUCCACUUCAAAGACUGGAGAACAGCAAAUAGCGAAAUAUGAAAUUUUAUAGAAUCUGCCUCAUUCUAAGAUAUUACCACAUGGAAUUUUCUUCCUCAUUUCUCAGUCGGAAAUACUGGAAUGGAUGUUAAUUAAGUGAACAAAAAUUUCAACCAACGCUUUUCAAUUUUAUUUUAUUUUUUUUAUAUCUGUGAGUCUUCAUCCUUACUUGAAUAACACAUUGAAGGAUAUAUAUAUAUAAAAAAAAAAUUAUACAUACAUAUACCUGUAUAUAUAUAUAUUUAUAUAUAUAUGUAUAUACACACAUGCG